rnacentral:tRNA from 1 species
GGGCCUGUAGCUUAGCCUGGUUUGGAGCACUCGACUGAUAAUCGAGAGGUCCGAGGUUCAAAUCCUCGCAGGCCCA